UACGAAGGGAGCUAGCGUUGUUCGGAAUUACUGGGCGUAAAGGGCGCGUAGGCGGCUUAGUCAGUCAGGUGUGAAAUCCCGGGGCUCAACCUCGGAAUUGCGCUUGAUACUGCUUUGCUUGAAUUCGGUAGAGGUGAGUGGAAUUCCCAGUGUAGAGGUGAAAUUCGUAGAUAUUGGGAAGAACACCGGUGGCGAAGGCGGCUCACUGGACCGACAUUGACGCUGAGGCGCGAAAGCGUGGGGAGCAAACAGGAUUAGAUACCCUGGUAGUCCACGCCGUAAACGAUGCAUGCUAGACGUUUGGAGGCUUUAGCCUCUGGGUGUCGCAGUUAACACAUUAAGCAUGCCGCCUGGGGAGUACGGCCGCAAGGUUGAA
rnacentral:rRNA from 1 species